rnacentral:rRNA from 1 species
GGGUUAAGUCCGCAACGAGCGCAACCCUAUUGCCAGUUGCUACCAGGUAAUGCUGGGCACUCUGGUGAGACUGCCCCGGUUAACGGGAGGAAGGUGGGGACGACGUCAAGUCAUCAUGGCCCUUACGCCUAGGGCUACACACGUACUACAAUGGCGCAUACAAAGGGCAGCGAUACCGCGAGGUGGAGCCAAUCCCAAAAAGUGCGUCCCAGUCCGGAUUGCAGUCUGCAACUCGACUGCAUGAAGUUGGAAUCGCUAGUAAUUCGAGAUCAGCAUGCUCGGGUGAAUGCGUUCCCGGGCCUU